GCAAAUCAUUUUUUCCUCCAUUGACUCACUGUGUACAGCAACAGGUCAACUACAAUAAAAAGCUAAUUGUAGGCACACCCCCACAGAUGUGGCACUAACAGAUGACAUGCCCACAUAUUCAACAUGAAGUUUCCUGAAUAACUGCAGCAGGGAGACAUCACCAGACACCCACUCUGCAGUUUGCCUCCAAUGCUCACCAAGGCUGUUCCCAGGCAGUAAAUGGGUGUGGUCUUCACUGACUGGUUGAACAUACCAGAAUGCUGACACACACAAACACACAUUCACUCAGAGAACACAGAUGCUGUUUCCCUCUUCCUCUGCUCCAUUUCCCCCCAGCUGAAGCGGCAUCUAUAAGAAUCUUGCAAGCGUCCCGGGAACGUCUGUAGCUGACAAGUUGUUGGAAAGCAAAUAUGUCUCUGCCAUUGUCCUUCCUGAUAUGUCUGUCAGUCUUCAACCUGUGUUUGGGAACUGGGCCUAUG